UACGUAGGGUGCGAGCGUUAAUCGGAAUUACUGGGCGUAAAGCGUGCGCAGGCGGUUUUGCAAGCCGGAUGUGAAAUCCCCGGGCUUAACCUGGGAAUGGCAUUUGGGACUGCAAGGCUGGAGUGCGGCAGAGGAGACUGGAAUUCCUGGUGUAGCAGUGAAAUGCGUAGAUAUCGUAAGGAAGGCCAGUGGCGAAGGCGAGUUCCUGGACAGUUACUGACGCUGAGGCACGAAGGCCAGGGAGCAAACGGG
rnacentral:rRNA from 1 species